rnacentral:rRNA from 1 species
GACGAACGCUGGCGGCGUGCUUAACACAUGCAAGUCGAACGGAAAGGCCCUGCUUUUGUGGGGUGCUCGAGUGGCGAACGGGUGAGUAACACGUGAGUAACCUGCCCUUGACUUUGGGAUAACUUCAGGAAACUGGGGCUAAUACCGGAUAGGAGCUCCUGCUGCAUGGUGGGGGUUGGAAAGUUUCGGCGGUUGGGGAUGGACUCGCGGCUUAUCAGCUUGUUGGUGGGGUAGUGGCUUACCAAGGCUUUGACGGGUAGCCGGCCUGAGAGGGUGACCGGCCACAUUGGGACUGAGAUACGGCCCAGACUCCUACGGGAGGCAGCAGUGGGGAAUAUUGCACAAUGGGCGGAAGCCUGAUGCAGCAACGCCGCGUGCGGGAUGACGGCCUUCGGGUUGUAAACCGCUUUCGCCUGUGACGAAGCGUGAGUGACGGUAAUGGGUAAAGAAGCACCGGCUAACUACGUGCCAGCAGCCGCGGUGAUACGUAGGGUGCGAGCGUUGUCCGGAUUUAUUGGGCGUAAAGGGCUCGUAGGUGGUUGAUCGCGUCGGAAGUGUAAUCUUGGGGCUUAACCCUGAGCGUGCUUUCGAUACGGGUUGACUUGAGGAAGGUAGGGGAGAAUGGAAUUCCUGGUGGAGCGGUGGAAUGCGCAGAUAUCAGGAGGAACACCAGUGGCGAAGGCGGUUCUCUGGGCCUUUCCUGACGCUGAGGAGCGAAAGCGUGGGGAGCGAACAGGCUUAGAUACCCUGGUAGUCCACGCUGUAAACGGUGGGUACUAGGUGUGGGGUCCAUUCCACGGGUUCCGUGCCGUAGCUAACGCUUUAAGUACCCCGCCUGGGGAGUACGGCCGCAAGGCUAAAACUCAAAGGAAUUGACGGGGCCCCGCACAAGCGGCGGAGCAUGCGGAUUAAUUCGAUGCAACGCGUAGAACCUUACCUGGGUUUGACAUGGAUCGGGAGCGCUCAGAGAUGGGUGUGCCUCUUUUGGGGUCGGUUCACAGGUGGUGCAUGGCUGUCGUCAGCUCGUGUCGUGAGAUGUUGGGUUAAGUCCCGCAACGAGCGCAACCCUUGUUCACUGUUGCCAGCACGUUAUGGUGGGGACUCAGUGGAGACCGCCGGGGCCAACUCGGAGGAAGGUGGGGAUGACGUCAAGUCAUCAUGCCCCUUAUGUCCAGGGCUUCACGCAUGCUACAAUGGCUGGUACAGAGAGUGGCAAGCCUGUGAGGGUGAGCGAAUCUCGGAAAGCCGGUCUCAGUUCGGAUUGGGGUCUGCAACUCGACCUCAUGAAGUCGGAGUCGCUAGUAAUCGCAGAUCAGCAACGCUGCGGUGAAUACGUUCCCGGGGCU